GACGAACGCUGGCGGCGUGCCUAAUACAUGCAAGUCGAACGCAUUGUCUUUCACCGUAGCUUGCUACACCGAGGGAAAAUGAUUGGCGAACGGGUGAGUAACACGUGGUUAACCUGCGCAUCAUCGAGGGAUAACACUCUGAAACAGGUGCUAAUACCGCGUAAUUUCAUUUACCGCAUGGUAAAUGGGUGAAAGGCGCUUGUGCGGCACUUAUGGAGGGAGCCGCGGUGCAUUAGGUAGUUGGUGGGGUAACGGCCUACCAAGGCUGCGAUGCAUAGCCGACCUGAGAGGGUGAUCGGCCACACUGGGACUGAGACACGGCCCAGACUCCUACGGGAGGCAGCAGUAGGGAAUCUUCGGCAAUGGACGCAAGUCUGACCGAGCAACGCCGCGUGAGUGAAGAAGGUUUUCGGAUCGUAAAACUCUGUUGUUAGAGAAGAACAAGGUUGAGAGUGGAAAGUUCAUCCCUUGACGGUAUCUAACCAGAAAGCCACGGCUAACUACGUG
rnacentral:rRNA from 1 species